GACGUAGGGCGCGAGCGUUGUCCGGAUUUAUUGGGCGUAAAGAGCUCGUAGGCGGCUUGUCGCGUCGGGCUGUGAAAACCUGCGGGCUCAACCUGUGGGCGGGCAGCUGGAUACGGGCAGGCGUGGAGUUCGGUAGGGGAGACUGGAAUUCCUGGAUGUAGCGGUGAAAUGCGCAGACUAUCAGGAGGAACACCGGUGGCGAAGGCGGGUCUCUGGGCCGAUAACUGACGUGGGAGGAAGCGGAAAGCGUUCGGGGAGCGAACAGGAUUAGACAUACCC
rnacentral:rRNA from 1 species